rnacentral:rRNA from 1 species
AUUGAACGCUGGCGGCAGGCCUAACACAUGCAAGUCGAACGGUAACAGGAAGAAGCUUGCUUCUUUGCUGACGAGUGGCGGACGGGUGAGUAAUGUCUGGGAAACUGCCUGAUGGAGGGGGAUAACUACUGGAAACGGUAGCUAAUACCGCAUAACGUCGCAAGACCAAAGAGGGGGACCUUCGGGCCUCUUGCCAUCGGAUGUGCCCAGAUGGGAUUAGCUAGUAGGUGGGGUAACGGCUCCCCUAGGCGACGAUCCCUAGCUGGUCUGAGAGGAUGACCAGCCACACUGGAACUGGGACACGGUCCAGACUCCGACGGGAGGCAGCAGUGGGGAAUAUUGCACAAUGGGCGCAAGCCUGAUGCAGCCAUGCCGCGUGUAUGAAGAAGGCCUUCGGGUUGUAAAGUACUUUCAGCGGGGAGGAAGGGAGUAAAGUUAAUACCUUUGCUCAUUGACGUUACCCGCAGAAGAAGCACCGGCUAACUCCGUG